rnacentral:rRNA from 1 species
GGACCCGCACAAGUAGUGGAGCAUGUGGUUUAAUUCGAAGAUACGCGCAGAACCUUACCAACACUUGACAUGUUCGUCGCGACUCUAAGAGAUUAGAGUUUUCGGUUCGGCCGGACGAAACACAGGUGCUGCAUGGCUGUCGUCAGCUCGUGUCGUGAGAUGUUGGGUUAAGUCCCGCAACGAGCGCAACCCUUACUUUUAGUUGCCACCAUUUAGUUGGGCACUCUGAAAGAACUGCCAGUGAUAAGCUGGAGGAAGGUGGGGAUGACGUCAAGUCCUCAUGGCCCUUACGUGUUGGGCUACACACGUGCUACAAUGGCAUUUACAAUAGGAAGCAAGACGGCGACGUUAAGCAAAUCCUAAAAAAAUGCCUCAGUUCGGAUUGUACUCUGCAACUCGAGUACAUGAAGCUGGAAUUACUAGUAA